GAUGAACGCUAGCUACAGGCUUAACACAUGCAAGUCGAGGGGAAACGAUAGAGAAGGCUUGCUUUUUCUAGGCGUCGACCGGCGCACGGGUGAGUAACGCGUAUCCAACCUUCCCACCACUUGGGAAUAACCUUGCGAAAGUAAGACUAAUACCCAAUGAUAUCUCUAGAAGACAUAUGAAGGAGAUAAAAGAUUUAUCGGUGAUGGAUGGGGCGGCGUCUGAUUAGCUUGUUGGCGGGGUAACGGCACACAAAGGCGACGAUCAGUAGGGGUUAUGAGAGGAAGGUCCCCCACAUUGGAACUGAGACACGGUCCAAAAUCCUACGAGAGACAGCAGUGAGGAAUAUUGGUCAAUGGGCGAGAGCCUGAACCAGCCAAGUAGCGUGCAGGAUGACGGCCCUAUGGGUUGUAAACUGCUUUUAUAAGGGAAUAAAGUAAGCCUCGUGAGGCUUUUUGCAUGUACCUUAUGAAUAAGGACCGGCUAAUUCCGUGCCAGCCGCCGCCGUAA
rnacentral:rRNA from 1 species